AUUGAACGCUGGCGGCAUGCCUUACACAUGCAAGUCGAACGGUAACGGGCCUUCGGGUGCCGACGAGUGGCGAACGGGUGAGUAAUGUAUCGGAACGUACCUUUCAGUGGGGGAUAACGUAGCGAAAGUUACGCUAAUACCGCAUAUUCUGUGAGCAGGAAAGCAGGGGAUCGCAAGACCUUGCGCUGAUUGAGCGGCCGAUAUCAGAUUAGCUAGUUGGUGAGGUAAAGGCUCACCAAGGCGACGAUCUGUAGCGGGUCUGAGAGGAUGAUCCGCCACACUGGAACUGAGACACGGUCCAGACUCCUACGGGAGGCAGCAGGUGGGGUAAGUUUUGGAACAAGUGGGGG
rnacentral:rRNA from 1 species